rnacentral:snRNA from 1 species
UUACUAUAUCAAAGAAUUGCCAU